rnacentral:rRNA from 1 species
GAUGAACGCUGGCGGCGUGCCUAAUACAUGCAAGUCGAGCGAACAGACGAGGAGCUUGCUCCUCUGACGUUAGCGGCGGACGGGUGAGUAACACGUGGAUAACCUACCUAUAAGACUGGGAUAACUUCGGGAAACCGGAGCUAAUACCGGAUAAUAUAUUGAACCGCAUGGUUCAAUAGUGAAAGACGGUUUUGCUGUCACUUAUAGAUGGAUCCGCGCCGCAUUAGCUAGUUGGUAAGGUAACGGCUUACCAAGGCGACGAUGCGUAGCCGACCUGAGAGGGUGAUCGGCCACACUGGAACUGAGACCCGGUCCAGACUCCUACGGGAGGCAGCAGUAGGGAAUCUUCCGCAAUGGGCGAAAGCCUGACGGAGCAACGCCGCGUGAGUGAUGAAGGUCUUCGGAUCGUAAAACUCUGUUAUUAGGGAAGAACAAAUGUGUAAGUAACUAUGCACGUCUUGACGGUACCUAAUCAGAAAGCCACGGCUAACUACGUG